GAGGGGGAGCAGCAAAAAAUUAACUCGCCAGUGCUUCGUUCCUCGCUAGCGAGGAGCUCGUGGAUCGAGGACACAUGCACGCUGCACUCUACGGGUGGUUGUCAGAAGGGUACAUGGAAGUAAACUUUCAGCACGUUAGGGGUGAUGGAAGCAUCCUUCGGGGCAGGGCAGGUUAGGUCGGCGAUGAAUGAUGUAGAAUUCUUAGGGCCAGUUUGGGAGCCCGGAUCCCCGCCUUUUCCCCAGGCAGGAGGCCCGCGUGGAAACUUGACCCGACCCGCGAGUUUUCCACGGGGAGGCUCUUCGCCAUCUCUUGAGUCCGGGCGCAUCUCCCCGCCGGUCGCGACACGCGAGCGACGCGAGCCGAGCGCCGCGCCGCCGCCACGCCGCCUGCUCCGCUCCCCUGCUCGCGCUGCCGUUCCACCUCCGCUCCUCGGCUCGGCGCUGCCGCUCCGCCUCCUCAUCCAGACGCCACCCCCUGCAGCUCCCUGCUCCCCGUUGGCGACGCCCCUCCGCUUCCGCACCCCUCGGCGUCUCGAUCUGCGACGGCGCCAUCACCUCGGCCGCCGCCUCCACAGCCACCACGGUGCCUCCACUUCAUCUUCCUCCUCGUCAUAUAUCUUGUUGAUCUUGGUGACUUUUCGUCUGAUUGGUUGCCACCUCCAAGAUUCACUACUUGCUGAUCUCUUCACUCGACAUUGUUGGCCCAAGUAAGCUCCAAUUCUUCUGGUUGCUGAGGAAAAUUGCUUCUCUGUCAAGCAAUCGAGCAAGUACCUAUGCAUAUUAAAUAUGUCAUUCUCUGUAAUUAACAGGUACAGUUGCUGAUUGCAACUAAACUUCAUUUUCAACUUUAACUACAAUUUCAGCUGACUGGUCUUUGAGUUAUGCUAUCCACACCUGGAAUCUGUUGGCCAUCGUCAUUGUCAUUUCACUAAUGGCUUAUGGGAUUACAACAGCGAGGGGAUUCUUGAGGGACUCGACUACCUGAUAUUGCAUGGUUUUGUCAUCACUUUCCGGAUCUGCAUAGAUGCUAGUUUGACCUUGCUCUAAAUUAUGUUCAUUGACAUUAUUUGAGUCUCUUUUAAAUUUGAAAACAUCAUGUAUCUUGCUAUGUGAUGGCAUAUUGUCUUGGUGACAUUAUUUGAGUAUCUUUUGUAUGGUUGUGAAGCAUAGGGUUAGACAGCAAUGAAUUUGUGAUGUUGAUUCAAAAGAUAUUAUGGUCUUGUAAUGAUCCUAUUAUUGACCCAUUAUGAGAUAUUAUGUUAUUGUCGUUUUCUGA